UGCGUCUGCCGAGGACGUUGGUGACCCUGGUCUCUGAGGACAUGGACAUCUUCCAGCAACAGAUCUCGAGAAGACAGCUGGCUAAAAUCCUUAUUUGUCCGGAAAGUUGAUCCAAGAAAAGAUGCCCACUCCAAUCUCCUAGCCAAAAAGGAAACAAGCAAUCUAUACAAAUUACAGUUUCACAAUGUUAAACCGGAAUGCCUAGAAGCAUACAACAAAAUUUGUCAAGAGGUGUUGCCAAAGAUUCACG
rnacentral:sRNA from 1 species